UGGGGAAUAUUGCGCAAUGGGGGGAACCCUGACGCAGCCAUGCCGCGUGAAUGAAGAAGGCCUUCGGGUUGUAAAGUUCUUUCGGUAUUGAGGAAGGUUGAUGUGUUAAUAGCACAUCAAAUUGACGUUAAAUACAGAAGAAGCANUGGCAAACNNCGUGCCAGCAGCCGUGGUAAUACGGAGGGUGCGAGCGUUAAUCGGAAUAACUGGGCGUAAAGGGCACGCAGGCGGUUAUUUAAGUGAGGUGUGAAAGCCCCGGGCUUAACCUGGGAAUUGCAUUUCAGACUGGGUAACUAGAGUACUUUAGGGAGGGGUAGAAUUCCACGUGUAGCGGUGAAAUGCGUAGAGAUGUGGAGGAAUACCGAAGGCGAAGGCAGCCCCUUGGGAAUGUACUGACGCUCAUGUGCGAAAGCGUGGGGAGCAAACAGGAUUAGAUACCCUGGUAGUCCACGCUGUAAACGCUGUCGAUUUGGGGGUUGGGGUUUAACUCUGGCGCCCGUAGCUAACGUGAUAAAUCGACCGCCUGGGGAGUACGGCCGCAAGGUUA
rnacentral:rRNA from 1 species